AGUGCGAUAGCUGGGUCAUAUGGUAGUUCCUUCUCUAGGUUUUUGAGGAAUCUCCAUAUUGCUUUCCAGAGUAGUUGUAUUAGUCUGCAGUCCCACCAACAAU
rnacentral:pre_miRNA from 1 species